rnacentral:lncRNA from 1 species
CUCAAGCUGAGCUUUCGCUCGCCAUCCACCACUGCUGUUUGCCGCCGUCCCAGACCCGCCGUUGACUUCCACCCUUCUGGAUCCAGCAGGGUGUCCAUUGCACUCCUGAUCCAGCGAGGUGCCCAUUGCCGCUCCUGAUUGGGCUAAAGGCUCACCAUUGUUCCUGCACAGGAAGAUGCAGUCUAGCUAGAAUGCUAACUCCAAGCCUGAGUAAGAAUGACAGGAAGUCCACAGAGUGGAAUAGUAUUUAGCAAUAAGAAGAAAUGAACUACCAAGCCACAAAAAAGACAUAGAAAGACCUUAAAUGCUUAUUGUUAAGUGAAAGAAGCCAAUCCCAAAAGGCCACAUAGUGUAUAAUUCCAACUCUAAAUACUCUGGAAAAGGCAGAAGACAGAGAUAGUGAAAAGGUCAGUGGUUGCCGGGGGUUUGUAGGGAGGGAGAGAUGAACAGGCAGGGCAUGGGGUGGGGGGUUUCAG